GCUGGGAUGGCUCAGUCGGUCGAGCAUGAGACUCUUAAUCUCAGGGUAGUGAGUUUGAGCCCCAUGGUGGGCA
rnacentral:tRNA from 1 species